rnacentral:rRNA from 1 species
GUGCCAGCAGCCGCGGUAAUACGUAGGGUCCAAGCGUUAAUCGGAAUUACUGGGCGUAAAGCGUGCGCAGGCGGUUGUGCAAGACCGAUGUGAAAUCCCCGGGCUUAACCUGGGAAUUGCAUUGGUGACUGCACGGCUAGAGUGUGUCAGAGGGGGGUAGAAUUCCACGUGUAGCAGUGAAAUGCGUAGAGAUGUGGAGGAAUACCGAUGGCGAAGGCAGCCCCCUGGGAUAACACUGACGCUCAUGCACGAAAGCGUGGGGAGCAAACAGGAUUAGAUACCCUGGUAGUCCACGCCCUAAACGAUGUCAACUAGUUGUUGGGGAUUCAUUUCCUUAGUAACGUAGCUAACGCGUGAAGUUGACCGCCUGGGGAGUACGGUCGCAAGAUUAAAACUCAAAGGAAUUGACGGGGACCCGCACAAGCGGUGGAUGAUGUGGAUUAAUUCGAUGCAACGCGAAGAACCUUACCAGG